AGAGUUUGAUCCUGGCUCAGAGCGAACGCUGGCGGCAGGCCUAAUACAUGCAAGUCGAACGGAUCCUUCGGGAUUAGUGGCGGACGGGUGAGUAACACGUGGGAACGUGCCCUUUGGUUCGGAACAACUCAGGGAAACUUGAGCUAAUACCGAAUGUGCCCUACGGGGGAAAGAUUUAUCGCCAUUGGAGCGGCCCGCGUCUGAUUAGCUUGUUGGUGAGGUAAAGGCUCACCAAGGCUACGAUCAGUAGCUGGUCUGAGAGGAUGAUCAGCCACACUGGGACUGAGACACGGCCCAGACUCCUACGGGAGGCAGCAGUAGGGAAUCUUGCGCAAUGGGCGAAAGCCUGACGCAGCCAUGCCGCGUGAAUGAUGAAGGUCUUAGGAUUGUAAAAUUCUUUCAGCGGGGACGAUAAUGACGGUACCCGCAGAAGAAGCCCCGGCUAACUUCGUGCCAGCAGCCGCGGUAAUACGAAGGGGGCUAGCGUUGCUCGGAAUUACUGGGCGUAAAGGGCGCGUAGGCGGACAGUUUAGUCAGAGGUAAAAGCCCAGGGCUCAACCUUGGAACUGCCUUUGAUACUGGCUGUCUUGAGUACGGGAGAGGUGUGUGGAACUCCGAGUGUAGAGGUGAAAUUCGUAGAUAUUCGGAAGAACACCAGUGGCGAAGGCGACACACUGGCCCGUUACUGACGCUGAGGCGCGAAAGCGUGGGGAGCAAACAGGAUUAGAUACCCUAGUAGUCC
rnacentral:rRNA from 1 species